GCUUUUACUAGUGCUCUUGCUUUCAUUUCAUUCUCAUGUGAAAUGCUUUAGAAAUAUCUAGUUUUCACUCUUUUUAGUAACUUAUAUGAACUAAUUUACGACAUAUGCCUUGCUGCCCACUAAAGGCAAAGUUUAACAUAAAUCUUGUACCCUUGACUACUUUCUUCUCUUUUUCUUCUCUUUACUGGAGGUAGAAACUAUUUUCACCUGAAACUUCUUUUAGAAAUGAAAAGGCUAAUUGAAAUUAUGUACUGCAUUGGCCAAGAACUUUAAAACCUGGAUCGUGUAUACUACUUCUGAAUUUUUCAGAAAAGUUAGAAGUCUAACAGGCAUUGGCCACAAGAUAUUUUGUGCCAGAUUUGAAAGGCAUAUUUUAAGCUCUGAAGAUGUGGAUGCUCAUGUACCUUUGCUGAUCUGCUAGCUCACUUUGACAGAAUGGGACAAUCAUGAGACCUUCAUUUCCCUCAGUUCUCAUCACGUCUGCAGCUUCUUCAGGUUUUGGGCCAAGUGGAGUGUAGCUUUUUGGCAGAGUGUCACCUUUUGUAGCCAUCAGGGCAUCAUGGUUACAGGUGGUGACAGAUAGACACUGAUUCCCCUCUAUCCUUGUGGCUAUCAGUAGCCGCCCCUUCAUGGAUUGUGAUUUGUUUCUGCAGGUCUCAGCUACCAUUUUAUUUCCCAAUGGCUGGUCAGGCUGACCUAGAAUCACGGCAACAGACGAUAACCUGCAUAGAUUGAUCUACCUGUUCUCACCAUUGCUUGAGGUCCCACUCAUACAAUAAAUCAGUACUCUAGAUUACUCCUACUGUGUUUGCUUCUCUGAUGGAACACUGAUACAGUCUUUAUCAGAUCUCUGGAGAAAAUGUUUAUGAGGUUUUUUAAUGACAUUGUCCAUCCUGAGUUAUCUUCUUCAUACUUUGUCCUGGUCCUACAUUUCUUUUUCUAAAUUCCUAAUCUUCCUGAUGAUCCAUACUCUUUGUUACAGCGGCACAAUCAGUAACAAAUUAUUGCUUUUUUUGGUCAGAAUUGAUAAAAUAAAUAACAUUUUAUUGUAACUUUGCUGUUUGUAGUCAGUCUGUUAAAGGAGUCACUCAG
rnacentral:lncRNA from 10 species